AUUGAACGCUGGCGGCAUGCCUUACACAUGCAAGUCGAACGGCAGCACGGGAGCAAUCCUGGUGGCGAGUGGCGAACGGGUGAGUAAUACAUCGGAACGUGCCCUGUCGUGGGGGAUAACUAGUCGAAAGAUUAGCUAAUACCGCAUACGACCUGAGGGUGAAAGCGGGGGACCGUAAGGCCUCGCGCAAUAGGAGCGGCCGAUGUCUGAUUAGCUAGUUGGUGAGGUAAGAGCUCACCAAGGCGACGAUCAGUAGCUGGUCUGAGAGGACGAUCAGCCACACUGGGACUGAGACACGGCCCAGACUCCUACGGGAGGCAGCAGUGGGGAAUUUUGGACAAUGGGGGCAACCCUGAUCCAGCAAUGCCGCGUGUGUGAAGAAGGCCUUCGGGUUGUAAAGCAUUUUUGUCCGGAAAGAAAUCCCCUGGGAUAGUACCUCGGGGGGAUGACGGUACCGGAAGAAUAAGCACCGGCUAACUACGUGCCAGCAGCCGCGGUAA
rnacentral:rRNA from 1 species